rnacentral:rRNA from 1 species
AUUGAACGCUGGCGGCAGGCCUAACACAUGCAAGUCGAACGGUAACAGGAAACAGCUUGCUGUUUCGCUGACGAGUGGCGGACGGGUGAGUAAUGUCUGGGAAACUGCCUGAUGGAUGGGGAUAACUACUGGAAACGGUAGCUAAUACCGCAUAACGUCGCAAGACCAAAGUGGGGGACCCUCGGGCCUCUUUCCUUCGGCUGUGCCCUGAUGGGAUUAGAUUGUUGGUGGGGUAACGGCUCACCAAGGCGACGAUCCCUAGCUGGUCUGAGAGGAUGACCAGCCACACUGGAACUGAGACACGGUCCAGACUCCUACGGGAGGCAGCAGUGGGGAAUAUUGCACAAUGGGCGCAAGCCUGAUGCAGCAAUGCCGCGUGUAUGAAGAAGGCCUUCGGGUUGUAAAGUACUUUCAGCGGGGAGGAAGGGAGUAAAGUUAAUACCUUUGCUCAUUGACGUUACCCGCAGAAGAAGCACCGGCUAACUCCGUG